rnacentral:rRNA from 1 species
UAAGGAAUAUUGGUCAAUGGAGGGAACUCUGAACCAGCCAUGCCGCGUGCAGGAUGACUGCCCUAUGGGUUGUAAACUGCUUUUGUCAGGGAAUAAACCUUUCCACGUGUGGGAAGCUGAAUGUACCUGAAGAAUAAGGAUCGGCUAACUCCGUGCCAGCAGCCGCGGUAAUACGGAGGAUCCAAGCGUUAUCCGGAUUUAUUGGGUUUAAAGGGUGCGUAGGCGGUCCUAUAAGUCAGUGGUGAAAGACGGCAGCUUAACUGUCGCAGUGCCUUUGAUACUGUAGGACUUGAAUCUAUUUGAAGUGGGCGGAAUAAGACAAGUAGCGGUGAAAUGCAUAGAUAUGUCUUAGAACUCCGAUUGCGAAGGCAGCUCACUAAGUUAGUAUUGACGCUGAUGCACGAAAGCGUGGGGAUCAAACAGGAUUAGAUACCCUGGUAGUCCACGCCCUAAACGAUGAUAACUCGAUGUUUGCGAUACACAGUAAGCGUCCAAGCGAAAGCGUUAAGUUAUCCACCUGGGGAGUACGGUCGCAAGAGU